rnacentral:rRNA from 1 species
UACGAAGGGGGCUAGCGUUGCUCGGAAUCACUGGGCGUAAAGGGUGCGUAGGCGGGUCUUUAAGUCAGGAGUGAAAUCCUGGAGCUCAACUCCAGAACUGCCUUUGAUACUGAGGAUCUUGAGUACGGGAGAGGUGAGUGGAACUGCGAGUGUAGAGGUGAAAUUCGUAGAUAUUCGCAAGAACACCAGUGGCGAAGGCGGCUCACUGGCCCGUUACUGACGCUGAGGCACGAAAGCGUGGGGAGCAAACAGG